AAGUCUGGCUAUGUAACAGGAUUCCUGGCUGGCAACAACAAUGAGGAAGAAGCUGUGAGAAUCGGAAGCGGGCAGCUUAUUGUGCUGAAGCAGCACAUCAGGGCUGUGAAUGGGCAUGAACGAUCGAUAAGAUAAAGGCCUUGGCAGCAUUGCGUCUGAGCCCAACAGUACAUCACCCCUUGCCUCUGGGACCCCAGAGCGGUGUACAUAGUUUCGUUUCUCCUCACAACAACCCUGUGAAGUAGGUUCAGCUGAGAGAGAAGUGACUGGCACAGAGUCACCCAGUAAGCAUCAUGGCUGAAUGGGGAUUUGAACUCAGGUCUCCCCGGUCCUUGUCCAGAACUUUAACCACUACGCCACACUGGUGGUGUAAGAGAGGUGUAAGAGAAGCAAGAGGGGAUAUUCUCUGUCUUCAUGACUAAGUAAUGGUUGAGUUACUUAAAAUAUGUUGUUUCUAAAGACCAUUAUCUCCCAAGUUACUCGGCAGAUACCGAUGCAACCCCAAUGUACUAUCAUUACAUGAAUGACUU